UUUCCUCCUCAUCUUAAUCAGAAGUUACUGAAGUGUAACGUGACAGAUAAGAGGAAUGGAAACACACUGCUCUGUAAUGUCGGCCCCCAGUCAUCUUGUAAGGAAAAAGAAACUCCAUCAAAACAAGACUGGUGGAGGGUCAUCAUGGUGUCUGUGGGUUUAGCAGCACUCAUAAUAACUGUUGUGGCGGUCAACAUAUGGAUGAGAACUAAAGGAAACAGAACCCAGAUGGACGGCACUGCUGAGCAUCAUGAUGAAGAUGAAGGUACAGUGACCUAUGAAAACGUUGGAGAACCUUCUGUUUCUAUCAGA